AUCUCUUUGCCUUUUGGCUUAGAUCAAGUGUAGUAUCUGUUCUUUUCAGUGUAACAACUGAAAUGACCUCAAUGAGGCUCAUUACCUUUAUUAUUUGUUACAAUACGGAUUUUUUGGAAUUAAUUACAAAUUUCUUCAUGGUAACUUCUCUUCUUCGGGGGAGAACUUGU
rnacentral:snRNA from 1 species